rnacentral:rRNA from 1 species
UACAGAGGUCUCAAGCGUUGUUCGGAUUCAUUGGGCGUAAAGGGUGCGUAGGCGGCGCGGUAAGUCACUUGUGAAAUCUCUGAGCUUAACUCAGAACGGCCAAGUGAUACUGCAGUGCUAGAGUGCAGAAAGGGCAAUCGGAAUUCUUGGUGUAGCGGUGAAAUGCGUAGAUAUCAAGAGGAACACCUGAGGCGAAGGCGGGUUGCUAGGCUGACACUGACGCUGAGUGCGCGAAAGCCAGGGGAGCAAACGGG